GGGGAUUUAGCUCAGCGGUAGAGCGCUUGCCUACCAUGCGCAAGGCCCUGGGUUCAGUCCCCA
rnacentral:tRNA from 1 species